rfam:TPA: Bos taurus chromosome 5, whole genome shotgun sequence.
UCCCAGGUGGUCCAGUGGUUAAGACUCUGCGCUGCCAGUGCAGGGGGCGCAGGUUUGAUCCCUAAUCUGGGAA